GCUGAUUCCGCUGUGGCGUGUACUGUGUGGAGCAGUUGCUUAAAGCAGGUGAGCAGCACCAAUACUUACCCACGCGCCUGCUCCUCAUGGAAACGUCAGCUUUAUAACACAGAACGUUCUACGGUUCAGCUUCAUAUUUGGGUAUUCCAUACAUUUGUUGAUCUUUUGUUUUACCCAAUAUAUUCAUCUUUAUUCUCUUCAGUCACCAGGAUAUUAGACACUCCCAACUUCAGGUCAUGUGAAGUACUCUUACCCCAAAUCUCCAUGUCAACACAGAAAUACAUUUCUAAGCCACAUUCCUCAGUGCUGUUAUCUCUUAUCCAGGUAAGGGAGUUAUAAAAUUCAGUAUCAGUGGAUUCCAAAUCCUUAAUAGCAAGUUUUUUACACAGUAGAAUGGUAAAGAGAAACCAGUAUCAAUAAACUUUCCAUCGUUUUUUGAUCUCACAAGGCUCAUGGAUGAAGUUUGUUUAUGCCGUUGCUCCCAUGCGUGAGGACCAAACUGGUGUCCGUGAUUACAUUAGUUUUGUCCCCUCAUCUAAUCUGUUUACCCGGCUGAGCACUGUAUUCCAGAACUUCCUCAAGUCACAGCCGUCGAAGAAGCUCAGCCUCCAUGCGGUUUCCCAUUUCAUUCCAAGGGACCUCUCAGAAGCCAAAGCUGAGCCCUGAAGAAGUGGAAUGAGUCCAUGGGGACUGUGUGUGACCGCAGCUCUCCAUGCUGAAGAGUAUGGGAAGACGGGUCGGCAUGAGAGCUGCCACAGGAGUCCUGGGAAGGUAAUGCACGCAGGGGCGGUCUCGAGCCAAGAACCUGGAGAAGUGACGGAUGAAGACUUUACUACUGGUGAUCGGAAUGCUUCGGAAGGAGCAGACUGGCUUUUGCCUUGCUAUGCUUUAGCUGAAGUUUGGGAAGACAGCACUCCAGAGAUGACCAGAACCCUCCCCACUUCUAAGUAUGGAGAAGCAGCAAGAAGCUGGAUGACAUGGACCAACGCAUGGAGAGGUGCUGUUGUAGAGAGGGGCUUAGAAGAUUUUGAUCAAACUAAAAUACACAAAACACGGAACAGCGAAUUGUCACUCAUAACGUUUGCAGCAAAUCAAAUGUUGAAAACGGCUUUCACUGAUGAUUGCAAUUGUUGAGACACAGAUUUACUGACUCGGCUAAACUCACCACCUCUGGAGAAGUUGUGAGGGGCUGGGCGCCACACAGGCUGGAUACUUCAGAGCGGCGCUGUGGGUUCUGUAGAAGUUCCAGGCCUGCCGAGACCCCUCACUCUGCAGCUACACCGCCUGCAGCUUAACCUCCUGCGGGUUCCACCGCGUUCCUCCUGGAGGACUGCUGCGGGGAUUUUGAGAGCGCUCAGAUGUGCGGGGAGAAGCGGCCCCGCUGUGGCAACUCCUUGUCCACUCCUGAGUCUGUCAGCACCAGUGAGAAGGUGGGCACCAGCGGGGAUGGACCCCGAGAGCGGAGCGGAGCGUCCUGCAGCGUGAUGCGCCCCUGGGCGGGGUCUGAACUUCAUCCUUAAAACCUUUGAAGCGUGCAAAGAGAUAAAUAAAUAUGUUCUUGUAAGUGGGGAGUAUAAAAACAGGCAGCUUCAGAGGUCAUUAUAUUUAAAAUAGGUCAUUUUUGGCCUUUUAAGAACUCACGGCAAUGUGUAUUCUGUGCAAGUGUUUUAAUUUCAAUGUUUUAAUAAUGGGUGGUACUUAAGUCAUGAUUAUGGUUUCUUUAACAAAGACAGCUAAUA
ensembl:lincRNA